rnacentral:rRNA from 1 species
GCAAGUCGAGCGGGGUUACUGCGACAGAUCCCUUCGGGGUGACGUUGCUUUAACCUAGCGGCGGACGGGUGAGUAACGCGUGGGUAACCUACCCUAAAGCUCGGGAUAACAGUGGGAAACCGCUGCUAAUACCGGAUGACUUUAACCUAUGGCAUCAUGGGUUAAAGAAAGAUUUAUCGCUUUAGGAUGGGCCCGCGUCCCAUUAGCUAGUUGGUGAGGUAACGGCUCACCAAGGCGACGAUGGGUAGCCGGCCUGAGAGGGUGUACGGCCACACUGGGACUGAGACACGGCCCAGACUCCUACGGGAGGCAGCAGUAGGGAAUAUUGCGCAAUGGACGGAAGUCUGACGCAGCGACGCCGCGUGAGCGAUGAAGGCCUUCGGGUCGUAAAGCUCUGUCCUUGGGGAAGAAGGUCUUCGGACUUGACGGUACCCAAGAAGAAAGCCCCGGCUAACUACGUGCCAGCAGCCGCGGUAAUACGUAGGGGGCGAGCGUUGUCCGGAAUUACUGGGCGUAAAGGGUGCGUAGGCGGCCCUUUAAGUCAGAUGUGAAAGG